CAAAGUAGGCAAAUCCGCUUUGAUAAUGCUGGGAUGUGAUGGGGAGCGAAAUUUAGUAGCGAAGUAGCUGAUUUCACACUGUCAAGAAAAGUCUCUAUCGAGGUUAAAGGUACCCGUACCGCAAACCGACACAGGUGGGUGAGGAGAGUAUCCUAAGGCCAGCGAGAGAACUGUUGUUAAGGAACUCGGCAAAAUGACCCCGUAACUUAGGGAUAAGGGGUGCCACCAUCAGGUGGCCGCAGAGAAUAGGCCCAAGCGACUGUUUACCAAAAACAUAGGUUUCUGCUAAGUCGCAAGACGAUGUAUAGGAGCUGACGCCUGCCCGGUGCUGGAAGGUUAAGGGGAUCUGUUAGAGCAAUCGAAGCAGUGAACUUAAGCCCCAGUAAACGGCGGCCGUAACUAUAACGGUCCUAAGGUAGCGAAAUUCCUUGUCGGGUAAGUUCCGACCCGCACGAAAGGCGUAACGAUUUGGGCACUGUCUCAACAACAGACUCGGUGAAAUUGUAAUUCCGGUGAAGAUGCCGGAUACCUGCGACAGGACGGAAAGACCCCAUGGAGCUUUACUGUAGCUUGACAUUGGGUCUUGGUACUACAUGUACAGGAUAGGUGGGAGGCUUUGAAACCAGGACGCCAGUUUUGGCGGAGCCAUCCUUGGGAUACCACCCUUGUAGUACUGGGACUCUAACCAUAGGCCAUGAAUCUGGUCUUGGGACACUGUCAGGUGGGCAGUUUGACUGGGGCGGUCGCCUCCCAAAAGGUAACGGAGGCGCUCAAAGGUUCUCUCAGUACGGUCGGAAAUCGUACGUAGAGUGUAAAGGCAAAAGAGAGCUUGAUUGCAAGACAUACAGGUCGAGCAAGGAUGAAAAUCGGACUUAGUGAUCCGGUGGUUCUGCGUGGAAGGGCCAUCGCUCAACGGAUAAAAGCUACCCUGGGGAUAACAGGCUUAUCUCCCCCAAGAGUCCACAUCGACGGGGAGGUUUGGCACCUCGAUGUCGGCUCAUCACAUCCUGGGGCUGUAGUAGGUCCCAAGGGUUGGGCUGUUCGCCCAUUAAAGUGGUACGCGAGCUGGGUUCAGAACGUCGUGAGACAGUUCGGUCCCUAUCCGUCGCAGGCGUAGGAAAUUUGAGAAGACCUGUCCUUAGUACGAGAGGACCGGGAAUGGACGUACCUCUGUGUACCAGUUGUCCUGGCCAAGGGCAUGGCUGGG
rnacentral:rRNA from 1 species